rnacentral:rRNA from 1 species
GAUCAACGCUGGCGGCGUGCAUGAGACAUGCAAGUCGAACGGACGCUUACGGGCUUGCCUGUAAGCGUUAGUGGCGGACGGCUGAGUAACGCGUAGGUGACCUGCCCCGAAGUGGGGAAUAACUGCCCGAAAGGGUGGCUAAUACCGCAUGUGGUGGUGCGUUCGAUCGCACCAGUAAAGCCGCAAGGCGCUUCGGGAGGGGCCUGCGUCCGAUUAGCUCGUUGGUGGGGUAACGGCUCACCAAGGCGACGAUCGGUAGGUGGUCUGAGAGGACGAUCACCCAGACUGGGACUGAGACACGGCCCAGACUCCUACGGGAGGCAGCAGUCGGGAAUUUUGCGCAAUGGACGAAAGUCUGACGCAGCAACGCCGCGUGAGGGAUGACGGCCUUCGGGUUGUAAACCUCUUUUGUCAGGGACGAUGAUGACGGUACCUGACGAAUAAGCCACGGCUAACUACGUGC